GACGAACGCUGGCGGCGUGCCUAAUACAUGCAAGUAGGACGCAGUUGCGAACGGGUGAGUAACGCGUAUGUAACUACCUAUUAGAGGGGGAUAACUAUUGUACACGAUACCUAAUACCGCAUACUAGUAGAUUUACCUGCUUUGUAUUAGCUAGUAGGUAGGGUAAUGGCCUAACUAGGCAACGAUACAUAGCCGACCUGAGAGGGUGAUCGGCCCAACUGGGACUGAGAACAGGCCCAGACUCCUACGGGAGGGAGCAGUAGGGAAUGAUUGGAAAUGGGGGGAACCCUGACCGCGCAACGCCGGGGGAGUGAAGAAGGUUUUCGGAUCGUAAAGCUAUGUUGUUAAGGAAGCGGUACUUAACCAGAAAGGGACGGCUAACUACGUGCCAGCAGCCGCGGUAAUUC
rnacentral:rRNA from 1 species